CUGAAAAUCAGAAAAUUAAAACACAAAUUAAAAGAAAAGAAACUCCAUCUUCUUCCUCCUCCAUACGUGGAAGGACAAGAUCCUCCUCCAUACGUGGAAGGACAAGAAUGAAGAUUUCUUAACAAAGUCAAAAACUAUCUCAGUAAACUUAAUUGAGUUUUCACCUUCUCAACCACCCUUAAUCCACUGGUUUUCUCAAAACCCCUGAAUUUAGCUACUUGUUUUUCUUGAAUGGUUUUGGUAAUUUAAAAUUCUGAAAUUCAUCUACUGAGAUGGAAGUUUCUCUAUAAAUAGGGGGGAAUGGUUGAGUUUUACAAUCACAAAAUCAACAACAAUAAUUCAGAAGUUUACAUCAACUAAAAGAAUUUGGAAACAAAAUUUCAAUUUUCCACUUCUCUGUUUUCCCUCUCGACCAUCAUAACCACCAUUCCUUUUAUCUUCUGACUUUCGUCGAGAAGUCAGGACCCCCGCCCAGUGGCAGCGGCACCACCACCCCGCACUCCGCACCUCUUCCUCGUCGUUCUCCCUGCACGACCAUUCUCUCUCCUCUUUCGCGAACCGCACAGCACCACCACACAUCAUCACUCGCCUCCUGUCGCCCUCUCUGCCGCCCACCUGCCGACCUUUCCUCCGCCGCAGAGUGCCAUCGCCCAGCCAGCACCCACCAUCUCCCCUCCCUACUCGCAUCCUCCUCAAACCCCCUGCACGCCUAUUUUUCUCUCUCCUCUACGCGACAUCACUGUACACCACCCAUCAUCACUCGCCCUUCUGCUCGCCUCCCUUCUGUCGCCUUUCGCCGCCUCGGAACGCUGCCCAUUCGCCGGACCUCCUGUCGCGACGCCGAGCCACGUUUCUCUCCUGCGUGUGUGUUUUCUUGGGAACUCGUUCCUCGGAGCUCAGUAAGGACGAUAUCAAGGACAUAAGAAGAGGAUUAUUAUUAUUCUACAAUCAAGGUAAUGCUGGGGACGAUGGUACUGCAUAGUGGCAAGGAUUACCACCUAAUUAAAUCAUCUAGUAAUAGUGCUACUAACUUGUAAGGUUAACUUAACUAGAAUGUAAGACCAUAUGCUUUAAUAUAAGUUAUCAAUGUUAUGUCAAGUAACGUUAACAUUGUCUAUUUUAGUAUAAUAUAAGUUAUCACUAUUAUAUCUCUUAAUGUUUAAAUAUGUUAUAUGAUUGUAGCCUUGCACCUUCCUAACUGAAGGUGCGUCAGUAAUGCCUCGACUAAAUAGUUAUUCCGCUGCUAAUUAGAUUAUCUUAAAUAGUGAAUUAGUAGUCGGGGCGUUACACUUUAGGUCUCGGUCGUUGUCUCGUCGGACAAAAUGGUAAGUUUCUUUUUCCGCAAAUUGUUAUCUACAUCUAGCCCUAAAUCUGAGUCUCCUCUUUAACUUUGAUUGUUAGAACUUAAAAGAUAAAUCUAGCCCUAAAUUUCGUGAUUCCUUAAUUUUCUUAGUCGCUUCUUAACUUUCUUUCUCUUUCCUCUCGGCUCUUUAAUGGCAGUUUUCGUGAAUCGUGAUUCCUGUAAAUCGGUCGACUGUUGAAGCCUUGAAGGCUUUCUUUCUCUUUCCACUCUUUGAAGACUGUUGAAGACUCGACGUUUUGCACUUCGGCCUUCCGAGUUCCGGCGUUCAGGAUCCGCCCCUAAUUGCAAUGGGAAGAAAUUAUAAUACACAAAAGCCACCAUCGCAGAGCUACGGGGAUUGAGCUAAGAAGCUGAGCCGAUCAUUAACUUCCUCUGUGAUCUCACGCGUAGGAGUUUCCACGUGGAAUAGCAUCUCCAAAUCAAUAUGGGUUAGCAAAUCAUAUGGCCCCUCCUCAAUCGUAAAGGUAAACGCAAGCGAAUAUAAAGGCAGCAAGAUAAAGUCUGGAAAAUCACCAGCGGAUUCUGAUAUCGCAAGAGUUUUCGUCAGUACUACCGUCGGCAAAGGUUUCACAAACACCGUCCGCUCUUCACUCGACGGCUCUGCUAUCACACACUCUGCUGCAAACAAAAAAAGAAAGAAAAAUACUAAAAAUAAAUUCUUUUUUGGGAAAAAAUAGCAAAUAACAGAUGAUACGGGAAUUUUUUUUUCUGUUUAAUAAUCGUCCUUCAGAUCUGUUGUUUUUGGACUUUUUUUUUUUUUUGAGGGGAUGUUUUUUGACAUUUUAGUACCAAGUUCUUUUUUUUUUCUUGAAACGUACCAAGUUCUUAUUUUAUCGCACACAAUUUGCAAAAUCUACUUAAUUCUGUUAUUUAGUCUUGA